ensembl:rRNA 5S_rRNA 5S ribosomal RNA
GCUUGUUGCCACACCUCCCUGAGCACGCCUGAUCUCGAAAGCUAAGCAGGGUCGGGCCCGGUUAGUACUUGGAUGGGAGACCGCCUGGGAAUACCAGGUGCUGUAAGCC